GUAGGUGGCAAGCGUUGUCCGGAAUUAUUGGGCGUAAAGCGCGCGCAGGCGGUUCUUUAAGUCUGAUGUGAAAGCCCACGGCUCAACCGUGGAGGGUCAUUGGAAACUGGAGAACUUGAGUACAGAAGAGGAAAGUGGAAUUCCACGUGUAGCGGUGAAAUGCGUAGAGAUGUGGAGGAACACCAGUGGCGAAGGCGGCUUUCUGGUCUGUAACUGACGCUGAGGCGCGAAAGCGUGGGGAGCAAACAGGAUUAGAUACCCUGGUAGUCCACGCCGUAAACGAUGAGUGCUAAGUGUUAGGGGGUUUCCGCCCCCCUUAGUGCUGCAGCUAACGCAUUAAGCACUCCGCCUGGGAGUACGGCCGCAAGGCUG
rnacentral:rRNA from 1 species